CCUACGGGUGGCAGCAGUGGGGGAUAUUGCACAAUGGUGGAAACCCUGAUGCAGCGACGCCGCGUGAGGGAAGACGGUCCUCUGUAUUGUAAACCACUUUCCCCAGGGACGAAGAUGACGGUACCUGGGGAGGAAGCGCCGGCUAACUACGUGCCAGCAGCCGCGGUAAUACGGAGGAUGCGAGCGUUAUCCGGAUUUAGUGGGUUUAAAGGGAGCGCAGGCGGAAUGUCAAGUCAGCGGUAAAAUUUCGGGGCUCAACCCCGUCGUGCCGUUGAAACUGGCGUUCUCGAGUGAGCGAGAAGUAUGCGGAAUGCGUGGUGUAGCGGUGAAAUGCAUAGAUAUCGCGCAGAACUCCGAUUGCGAAGGCAGCAUGCCGGCGCUAAACUGACGCUGAUGCACGAAAGCGUGGGUAUCGAACAGGAUUAGAUACCCGGGUAGUC
rnacentral:rRNA from 1 species